rnacentral:rRNA from 1 species
AUUGAACGCUGGCGGCAGGCCUAACACAUGCAAGUCGAACGAGUGGCGGACGGGUGAGUAAUGUCUGGGAAACUGCCUGAUGGAGGGGUAUAACUACUGGAAACGGUAGCUAAUACCGCAUACCAUCGGAUGUGCCCAGAUUGGCUUAGCGAGUAGGUGGGGUAACGGCUCACCUAGGCGACGAUCACUAGCUGGUCUGAGAGGAUGACCAGCCACACUGGAACUGAGACACGGGCCAGACUCCUACGGGAGGCAGCAGUGGGGAAUAUUGCACAAUGUGCGCAAGCGUGAUGCAGCCAUGCCGCGUGUAUGAAGAAGGCCUUCGGGUUGUAAAGUACUUUCAGCGGGGAGGCGUUACCCGCAGAAGAAGCACCGGCUAACUCCGUGCCAGCCGCCGCGGUAAUUC